rnacentral:rRNA from 1 species
AGUCAAUAGAUACCCUGGUAGUCCACGCCGUAAACGAUGAGUACGUAGGUGUAGGAGGUAUCGACUCCUUCUGUGCCGCAGUUAACACAAUAAGUACUCCGCCUGGGAAGUACGGUCGCAAAGAUUAAAAACGUCAAAGGAAUUGACGGGGGCCCGCACAAGCAGCGGAGCAUGUGGUUUAAUUCGAAGCAACGCGAAGAACCUUACCUAGACUUGACAUCUCCUGAAUAGUGUAGAGAUACAUGAAGCCCUUCGGGGCAGGAAGACAGGUGGUGCAUGGUUGUCGUCAGCUCGUGUCGUGAGAUGUUGGGUUAAGUCCCGCAACGAGCGCAACCCUUAUUACUAGUUGCUACCAUUAAGUU